rnacentral:rRNA from 1 species
CCGGCGCACGGGUGAGUAACACGUAUCCAACCUGCCGAUGACUCGGGGAUAGCCUUUCGAAGGAAAGAUUAAUACAAGAUGGCAUCAUGAGUCCGCAUGUUCACAUGAUUAAAGGUGUUCCGGUAGACGAUGGGGAUGCGUUCCAUUAGAUAGUAGGCGGGGUAACGGCCCACCUAGUCUUCGAUGGAUAGGGGUUCUGAGAGGAAGGUCCCCCACAUUGGAACUGAGACACGGUCCAA